UGUGAGAUAAGAAGAAACAUAUAUUGAUUUCUGCUAUAUCGCUUCCUGGGCUUCCCAGGUGGCGUUAGUGGUAAGAACCUGCCUGCCAAUGCAGGAGCCGUAAGAGACACGGGUUCGAUCAUUAUGUCAGGAAGAUCCCUUGGAGAAGGACACGGCAACCCACUCCAGUAUUCUCGCCUGCAGAAUCCCAUGGGCAGAGCAGCCUGGCGGGCUACAGUCCAUGAGGUCACAAAGGGUCAGGAACGACUUCAGUGACUUAUCACGUGUGCACAUGGAUUCCCAUGGAAUUUCCUGGGUGUCUUUUGUUCUAAUGAGGAGGCUCUAGGUGGGCUCCUGGAUGGAGACCAGUCACCAGAAAGAUCAGGCCAUGACUAGAAGCUUGACAUUUUCAGCACCACCUUCCCUAUACCCACCUCCCCCAUUCUCCAGGGAGGGGAGAGGGGCUGGAAAUGGAGUUAAUGAGCGAUCAUGCCUACGUGAGAAGCCUCCGUAAAACCCCACUGUGGGGCUGGUGAGCUGCCAAGCCGGUGAGUACAGCCAUGUACUAGGAGGGUAACACCCCCCACCUCCACAGGGAUGGAAGCUCCUGCACUAAGGACCCUCCCAGACCUUGCCCUCUGUGUCUAUCAAACUGCUUGUUCAUCCACAUCCCUCCUUGUCACGUGGCUACAAAGUCAGGGACACCUGGUCUCCAUGGGCCCCGACCGGGGAAGGAAGAAGCACCUGGAGGGUCUUGUCUGAAAGUGGCUGACAUCACUCCACCACAUCACUGCCUGGACUCAUCGUGGGACUGCAGCCCCUCCCAAGAAGGAGGAAGCGCACAGAAGUGCGUCCUUUACCGCUCAGCCAUUAAAUCCAUGGAGUCAGUCAUCACAUUUCGGGAGGGGCUCCUAACGUGUGCCAGGCAUUAUGCUGAAUGUAGAGCUACAGAGACGUCCCUGUCCUCGUGAAGUUCAGAUGUGGGUCAACGUACAAACUGGUGCAGCGUCACAGUCCUGCGGGGGCAGCAGAGAGGCGCCGUGCCCAGCCUGGGGGAGGGGCCGGCAGCCUUGAGCAAGCAAGCAGUCCACACCGACUCUGAAAAAACGUGCUUGCUGACAUAUACACGCUUGUGUUUUUUACAAAUGUAACUGAUGUAAAGGAUGGGUUACACACGAUUUACAAACAAUGCUUAAAAUACACAAUACAGGCUCACCUCAGGGAUAUCAACAGCUUGGUUCUAGACCCCAAAAUAAAGCACAUAUGGCAAUAAAGUGAAUCAUGUGAUUUUUUUUGGUUUCCAGGCACAUAUAAAAGUUAUGCUUAUACU
ensembl:lncRNA